rnacentral:lncRNA from 1 species
GAAAGAGUAAUUUAAGACAUAGGAUAGUCUCUUGCUUAAAAGUGAAAAGAUGACUGUUCUUGUUUGAGACUUGGAGACAUUCCUCUUUGCUCAGGUAAAUCCCCUUCGCCCCUUCCUCCUGCAUGAGCUGCCAGUGCCAUCUCAGCUUCACGUGUGUCAGGACAGACACGCGCCACAACACUGGAAAACAACUCUCAAAGCUCUACUGUGGUACCAGGGAACAGACAGAUGAUAGAGGUGUGUGUGUGUGCGCGCGCGCGUGUGCUGGAGCAGGAUUGGGUAAGGGUCCAAAAUGAGAAGGAAAAGCGGUCUGGGGUGUGUGUGUGGAGAGGCUGCUACAAGGUCCAUAAUGCCUAAAAUCUUCUUGGAAGAAGGAAAAAUAACUUGUAUAAACACUAUUACUCUUACAGACCAACAAGACCAGACUUGUGAAAGGCAUCUGAAAAAACAGUCUGUAAGAAAAAAACAAAGUCGUAUCCAAUUAAACAAAGUCGUGUCCAAUAAACUUGGGUCUGCAUCCUCUCCUUCCUCCCUUCCUUCUUUGAUCAAGAUAUCCCCUCCCAUCAUCCUCACCCCUCCUCUGCCCACACACCUACUUACAAUCUCCCUCCCGCAGCAGCUAGGGGGCUGCUGGAGUCAUGACUAAUCAGAUUGGAGAGGCCACAGUGGACUCCUGAAACCAUGGUGAGGCCUGUUAAUGGUUGGUUAAACAGAAUAAUCUGAAUCUAAAUAAUCUGCAAAUUAGUCAGCCUUGGGAAAACAUUACGCAACAGAAUCAAGUAAUGUUCCUGCCCAAAGGGACCCCGUGCUCUCUCUAUGCCAGGGGUCUCCGCCACUUCUCCACCCAGGUACCCAGGAGGGAGUUAGCGCGGUUCAGUCAUCACCCUGGUCACUCUGAUGGUGAUUCCCAGAGAAGGGUAGGGUGAGGGCAGAGGGCGUUCUUGCCUCUAUAAAAAGUAUAGGAACUUGCAAGGAACAAGUUUGAUGAUGCACCUCCAGGGCAUUCUGAUAUCACUGUCCAGCCUAUUGAGAACCACUGGUACAAUCCAAUCUCUUCAGUGAAGAGAUGAGAAAGUCAAGAUGUGAGAGAUGUGAUCUCAGCCUGCCUCCAGUCAUUCACGGCAUCAUGCAAGGUCUCCUAAACUGACGAUGUGCUAUCUUCUCCUCCUUCCCUUCUAUCUACAGAGACACAUGAUCAACCAGCUAAACAGAGAUGCAGAUAAAGAUAUGUGUACACAUGCCCAUCUUUGAUGGGCAUAGUAUAUAAAGAUACGUGUAUGGGAAAAAAUUCAGGGGCAUGGGGAUCUAUCAUCUAUCUAUCCACCUUCUAGUACUGAAGUGGUUAAACUGGUGCAUUUUUACAGUUCCUUAUCACUGAAAAGGGAGUGAUCAGUUAAAUAAAAAAAAAAAAAAUCAGUGUCUGAAUAGCCAAAGCUGUUUAAGAAACAACUAGCAUGAAAGCUUCCUGUCCUAUAAAGUCCAAUUUCAAGGUCGACCAAGCAACUUCAAACUCUAUCUUGAAC